rnacentral:rRNA from 1 species
GACGAACGCUGGCGGCGUGCUUAACACAUGCAAGUCGAGCGGUAAGGCCCUUUCGGGGGUACACGAGCGGCGAACGGGUGAGUAACACGUGGGUGACCUGCCCUCAGCUCUGGGAUAAGCCGGGAAACUGGGUCUAAUACCGGAUAUGACUCCAUGACGCAUGUUGUGGGGUGGAAAGCCUUGUGCGGCUGAGGAUGGGCCCGCGGCCUAUCAGCUUGUUGGUGGGGUGAUGGCCUACCAAGGCGACGACGGGUAGCCGGCCUGAGAGGGCGACCGGCCACACUGGGACUGAGAUACGGCCCAGACUCCUACGGGAGGCAGCAGUGGGGAAUCUUGCGCAAUGGGCGAAAGCCUGACGCAGCGACGCCGCGUGAGGGAUGACGGCCU